rnacentral:lncRNA from 1 species
GCUUUACAAGGAAAAACUAUAAAAGAGGUUCUUUUUCAACAAAAUGAAGACAGUGUGCGAUGGUUGCCAGAAUGGCUCGUGUGCCAGGUGGAUGUCUCUUCAACAGAAUCUCUUCCUCCUCAUAAUGAUGGCCACAAUGACCAGAUGUGAGAUGUUCUGGGCUUAUGUCCCUGACCCUCCGCUUCUCCAUCCUGUUACCUGGGAAGACCCACCAAUUUCUGUGUACUGUUCGACUAGUGACGGCUGGCACCGUCACAAUGAACAAAUCUUCAGUAGCACGGGAGCUAGCACAAAGAAUCAACAACUGGGAUCUCAUCUUAUUAAAAAGUUUCUGGACUGCAAGAGAAACCACCAACAGAGCUAAGAGACAACCUACAAUGUAGGAAAAAAUUUUUAGCAGCUGUACCUCAGAGAAAGAUCUACUAUCAAGAAUAUAUAAAGAAUGUACAUGAAAAUCACUCUAAGCCAUGCUGAAGGAUUUGAUUGUGGAGGUCACAGUGCUCAUGGUGGUGUUGAUGCCACAUGGGACGUGUGUGUCCCUAAUGAGGCCAGAUGUAAACUUCACUUCCCAUAAAGAACACCCUCUGAACAUCUCC